rnacentral:rRNA from 1 species
GACGAACGCUGGCGGUGUGCUUCACACAUGCAAGUCGAACGAGGUAGCAAUACCUAGUGGCGGACGGGUGAGUAACGCGUGGGAAUCUGCCUUUAGAUGGGGGAUAACGGGUCGAAAGACUCGCUAAUACCGCAUAUGACGAAAGUUGAAAGGAGUAAUCCGUCUAAAGAUGAGCCCGCGUCCGAUUAGCUAGUUGGUAGAGUAAAAGCCUACCAAGGCGACGAUCGGUAGCUGGUCUGAGAGGAGUGAUCAGCCACAAUGGGACUAGAGACACGGCCCAUACUCCUACGGGAGGCAGCAGUGGGAAUUUUACGCAAUGGGCGAAAGCCUGACGUAGCGACACCGCGUGAGCGAAGAAGCCCCUUGGGGUGUAAAAGGCUCUGUCAGCUGGACGAAAAAAUAGACGGUACCAGCAGAGGAAGCAUCGGCUAACUACGUGCCAGCAGCCGCGGUAAU